rnacentral:rRNA from 1 species
AUUGAACGCUGGCGGCAGGCUUAACACAUGCAAGUCGAACGAGUGGCGGACGGGUGAGUAAUGUCUGGGACCCUGCCUGAUGGAGGGGGAUAACUACUGGAACGGGUAGCUAAUACCGCAUACCAUCGGAGGUGCCCACAUGGGCUUAGCUAGUAGGUGGGGUAAUGGCUCACCUAGGCGACGAUCCCUAGCUGGUCUGAGAGGAUGACCGGCCACACUGGAACUGAUGCACGGUCCAGACUCCUACGGGAGGAAGCAGUGGGGAAUAUUGCACAAUGGGCGCAAGCCUGAUGCAGCCAUGCAGCGUGUAUGAAGAAGGCCUUCGGGUUGUAAAGUACUUUCAGCGUGGAGGCGUUACCCGCAGAAGAAGCACCGGCUAACUCCGUGCCAGCAGCCGCGGUAAUUC